rnacentral:rRNA from 1 species
GACGAACGCUGGCGGCGUGCUUAACACAUGCAAGUCGAACGAUGAACCCGGAGCUUGCUCCGGUGGAUUAGUGGCGAACGGGUGAGUAACACGUGAGUAACCUGCCCUUGACUCUGGGAUAACUGCGGGAAACUGUAGCUAAUACCGGAUACGACCCUCGGCGACAUCGCCAGGGGGUGGAAAGAAUUUCGGUCAUGGAUGGACUCCAGGCCUAUCAGCUAGUUGGUGAGGUAACGGUUCACCAAGGCGACGACGGGGAGCCGGCCUGAGCGGGUGACCGACCACACUGGGACUGAGACACGGCCCAGACUCCUACGGGAGGCAGCAGUGGGGAAUAUUGCACAAUGGGCGCAAGCCUGAUGCAGCAACGCCGCGUGAGGGAUGACGGCCUUCGGGUUGUAAACCUCUUUUAGUAGGGAAGAAGCGAAAGUGACGGUACCUGCAGAAGAAGCACCGGCUAACUACGUGCCAGCCGCCGCCGUAA